ACGGGUGUAGCUCAAUUGGCAGAGUAGCGGUCUCCAAAACCGUUGGUUCGGGGUUCGAAUCCCUGCACCCGUG
rnacentral:tRNA from 2 species